UGUGCUUCUAGUCCUAGGUGAAAAGUCGAGGCUUUUUCCUAAGGAUGAUCCUGGCGGCCCCAUGUAGGUUGGCGUAGGCUACUACUCCUUUGGUUGAUAGGUUUUACAAGGUUGGGAUGACUUGCAUUGGCAGGUUAGGGAGGAGGUUGAGAAACUAGGACAAGAGCUUUACAAGAAAACAUGUGAGCCUUUAAUAAUGACCGAGACUCCUCCAAUAGGGAAUUGCUGGCACCUCUUGAAACUGGAUGAGUAAGAUAAAGGAAUGCUCUGAUAUUAAAAAAGUUCUUGUGUUUGUUCUUUAUGGGUCUUAUUUGAUCGGUUGAACAUGUGAUCUGAUGUUUGAAUUUCAUACUGCAGAAUCUGGAAAGUGAAGAUCUACUCCAUCUAUUCUUUACAGUGAUCUUUUUGGGUUGUCGUUCUUUUAUUUGAUAUUGAAAAAUGCGUUUAACAUGAUUGAUUGGAAUUUUCUUGAUGAUAUUUUGAGUUCGGUUUUAGGAUCAAAUGAAGAGAAUGGAUUUGUUAGUCCAUUCAAGAAAAAACAUCUCGUUUGGCUGUCAAGGAGAUCAAAACUGAGUUCAUUGACACAUUCUAUCAAACAUUACUGUUAUUUUUUCUUUUUCUUUUACAGGAUGGGUCGAUUUCUCGAGUCCUUAUUAUAUUCUUUCGAGUCUACCAAAUGCAAAGAUAGGAGAUGGAAGUCUUCAACCUUAGAGAAGGUAACAUGUUUAUCAAAAUGGUGGGGUCAAAUGUGUCCACAAGGUUAUUAGACAACAUUGAGACACUAGUGCGACCUCUUAUGCUAUGCACUCCCCCAAGAAAAAGCUUGUCUGCUCGAUGCCAUACAAACGUUGCAUCUGUAACAUCGCAACGUUGUAUCGAUUUCCUUGAAGAAAGGAUAUUUUUUUUCUACUGGAUUUUAUACGGUGAAAAUUUAAAUUCGAUGAGUGAUUAUUUUUGUGUAUGUAUUCAUUAUUUUGGUGCUUCAAAAUAAGAAUAGCAAUGACGCUUUUUUAGAGAUACUUGUAUCGUGAGAGAGGAGCUCAGUGGAUAAGAGGUAACUCAAAGCUCUAUCCAUUCUUAAUCUCAGUCUCGAGAAGAAGAUUAGAUGUAUAGUCCCAAGUUUGAACUAAACCAAUAAAAAUUUUAAGAAAGAUUUGCUUCAGACUCCGAAAGGAAAAUCAUUUAGAUCGUGUUAACUCCCUCUAGUUUAUUGGAGACUUUUAAUUCCGAAGAGGUUAGAAAGUUGCCAUGUGGUUUGGGGAUAGAGAAAGCUUCUGGCUUUUUCUUUGGACCAGUUUUAUGUAUUAUUCUUUACUUGGCUCGUACACAUUUGCAGCAUCAAUUGUGAAUAUCAAUGGGAGAAAUCUUUGCUUUCCUUUGAA